CCAUUGACAGCACAUUGCAAAUGAAUGGCAAAGACGCUGUCGUAUCAGCUGCAUCACUCGACGCGCUUGAUGUGAUCUAUGAGAACGCGGAGAUGCUGGUGUUGAGCAAGCCCCCAGGCAUCCGCAUGGACGGCGAUGAAACCAUCUACGGCCGCACCGUAGAGUCCCUGGUGUGCGAGCACAUGAAAGCCCGUGGCAUCUUCGACGAUACACAUGAGCAGCUGCAAAAAGAAAAGAAGCGAAAGAAGCAGCUGAAGUUUGUGCAUCAGCUUGACUUCGGUACGAGCGGGGUUCUGUGCUUGGCCUUUACUAAAGAUAUGGCCGCGCGACUUGCCCACUGUUUUGAGAUGCGCACGGUUCGGAAGUACUAUGUUGCACUGCUGCAUGGACACUUGCCAAGCGAUACGGCGCCGACGGAGGAUGGCGCCUCGAGUGACCAGCCAGGCUCUACUUUCACGUCAGAUACAAAGGCUCGUCGGUCGUCAUUUGCCGCGUGGGCGAAUGCGUGCAACAAGGCAUGGGAAGGGCUGGGCUGCGUUCGGGCUGUUUGCUCUGCAUCCACGAGCGGAGAAUCCUCGGCGAACUCGGCGGGUGGGGACGAAGUGGCAGGGUUCCGGUACCUUCUGCAACGUCCGCGUAAGACAGCAUGGGAAGCGGUGGGACUGGCGAAUUCCAAGGACGCGGAGGAGGGCGUGCCGGUGACUGUGGUGCAUCGGUAUCACUCUCGUCGAAGCGGUGCUCCAUCGCUGAGCACUUCAGCACCAGAAAAUCCCGCUUCCGUGCCGGCAGACGUGGUGGAGGACCUUAUCUACCGUACGCUGCUAGAGAGUACUGCAACGCGUUCGGUCGUCUUUGUUGAUCUGCCGGUGGGCUACGAUUUAACGGGCCCCGAGCACCUCCGCAUGGCUGUUACGGCAGAGCAAAGCCGUGACGCUAAAACAAGCCUCUUAGUGCUGAAGCGCACCUACUUGGCCGAACCUCCACCAGCGGGCGGCGAGGCGCCACAGCGCGACGCAAUCGCUAAGGAUUCCCCGUCUGUCACAAGCUAUCCGGUGACGCUGGUGCUGCUCGCUCCGCACACGGGUCGACGCCAUCAACUCCGCGUGCACUGCCGCGCCAUCGGUUUCCCUAUUGUUGGGGACACCUCGUACUGCGCUGACCUACCGUGGUGCGCCGCCUUGCCGCUAGGGUCAUCCACAUCCACAUGGGCGGCCGCCGGCGCGCGGCGCAUGUACCUGCACGCUUGGCGCCUGCUUCUGCCCGGCACAGUGACGCCCCGCCUCGAUGAGGUUGAACGGGUGGCGCUGAAGAAGAAGCGGCGUCGCGAGAUCUUGGGGCUAUCAGGGCAACACGAUGCCUCCUUCUCCGCGAGUCGUUGCGAGUGGACCGAGUUUGUGGCCUCGGUGGACUUUACUGGACUGGACCUGGAGGAUUCAGAGGAUCGAGAGAUGUAAGCCGGUCACCGUCUGUGGAUGCGACUCUCUCUCUCUCUCUUUGCGCAUGGCGCACCACGAGAAGACCGCAAAGGCGUGUACACCUUUUUAGGAGCCGUGCUGCGAAGGACGAAGAGGAGAGAGUACACUGCGGUGUGUGAGAUGCGCAUCGAUGAAGCAGGGGCUCGGUGGCGCGUGCCACUCACGCUGUUGACCGCUGAAGGCGGGACGUGGUGCCGGGUGAGACGUGCACGACUCGCUUUGUGUCAAAGUAAACGGCGUACUUUACCGCGGCGACAGGCACUGCGGCGCCAUGCCGUCUCAAGACCCAGUCUUGCGGCUGGUGCCAAGCUUGCUCAUUCCUUCAUUUAUUUGUUUCCCUUUCCCUGCCAACAAAUUGAUCCUUCUUUGUGCAUGCCAACGUCUGCACCGACAGGAUGCACCUCCAU
rnacentral:misc_RNA from 1 species